AUUUGCUUUUUCCACGGAUGAGUAAUCCAACAAAUAAAUAAUAUUUCCUCUCUACAAACUGCAUUAAUCAUUCAAAUUGAGCGAAUUCAGAAUUUUGACUGCCAGAUGCGCAGCCCAUAAAUUGCAACAUCUGGAGCAACAUCUAUGACAACGUUGAACUAAAGAUUGAUUUAUCAUCAAUGGGAAGUUGACAUACUACAAAAUCAAGAUGUUGCACCAUCAUAGUGUAGCUAAGUGAUAAUAAUUGCAAGAACUCUCUCAUAGUUUUCAGGGCUAUGGUGCCUCAUCCAACUGAUUAAGAUCACACAAAGCUUUGAUGUGGAGAAGGCGCAAGGAAGCCAAAUUGGGGUACCAAGUCAAUCAGAAGUGAGCCAAACUGUAUACUAGAAUCCAUGAGAGCAGAAACAGAGUAAUAGAAGCAAAAAGUCCCUCUUGGAGGAGAGCGCCAUGACCACCAUAUUCUUCCUCGUCAACCUUUAAUAUUAUUGAAUAAUAACCAUAUAUAAUCCCAGAGGAUAUCAAGAGGAAAACGGCAAUCCAUAUGCCCCCAACCAAAGGUAUGGCACCCCAAAGCAAUCCACAUACAAGGGCCACUACUUGCCUAAUCCAAUGCAAGACAUCACCCAGCUGAUCCUUGUCCCAAGAAGCCUCUGGAUCCAACAAUUUGGCAAAUUUGAAAGGAGAAAAGUGGCCGUUUUGAUGUUGCUGUAAUUGCUGAUUAUUCAAUUUAGUCGAUUUCCCUUCUUUCAUUGCUGGUCAAAACACUAAAAAAAUUUUUCCGAAAAAAGAAAAUCCAAUCUACAGCAAACAAAUGAGUCCAAGAACCGAAUUUUCAGUUUGGAUUUUGGUAUUGUGGGUUGAAGAAUUGUCAAUGGCAGCAGUGGUGGGUCAAAACGAGCUAGGGUUGGAUUGGGUUGCAGAGAGAGAGAGAGUUAGAUAAUAGAAAUUGAAGUGUUCUCUCCUCUCUGUAGAUCUGCAGCAACCAGCAAGCCAAGGAUUGGAUCACGGAGAUUGUUAAAUGUUUUAAGUUUUACCAUUUUAUUGCUUUCUGAAUGGAAAUUUAUGCAUUU
rnacentral:misc_RNA from 1 species